CCGCCGGGACGACCCGGCCAUGUACGGGUAGUUGUCAGGACGACCUGC
rfam:Jannaschia sp. CCS1, complete genome.